GGCGAUUCUCGAGUGACACACCCCGGAAUCAGGCUCCCUCCUCUCUGGUUCUGGGUGUGUCACCUGAGGACCGCA
rfam:Myotis lucifugus cont2.16875, whole genome shotgun sequence.